rnacentral:other from 1 species
AAUACCCUGCUUGGUUUGUGUUUGGGCCCUAUUUUUCUGACCCAUUAAUAAGAUGGGACGGGAGCUCGAAUCCGAUGGCAACCUGAUGCCCUUUUAGGGACCUGGGAUCUAUCGGCUAGAGUGCCCACGUUGUUGGUUCGGAACAGAAAACGGGACGCCACACGGCCUGGCGGGGUAUUC